CUUAAAAAAUAAAUUCAGAUUUUCAAGUCAUCUGAAAUCACCAGAGUAAUUUAACCCACGUAAGCGCCUGAAGGUCUUUUUUCAACGUGCGGUAUGUCAGCGCAGGGGGCGUGUCUGUAGGAUACAGAGCGUCCCUGAAGUCCAUCAUUUCAUUCUGGUGAGAGUUCAAAUCUGGCGGGCAUUUUAUCUUUUGAGAUUUUAUCCUUUAGGUUGUGAUCUGAUGGUGAUGGAGUUGUUGGUGCAUCAAGUGGAAAUAUGUUCCUGAAGGCAAGACGCAGAAUGUGCAGGAAGAGGAGAGGGCACUGCAUUCAAGCACUUAGCAGCCUCCUGUCUCUGCUUGAUGAUGAUAAUGUGCUGUCUUCAAAAGAGUUCAGUUCAAAAGAAAAGGGCAGUCAUUCUGAGAGGCCUUCCACAUUUUCUCAGGGAGGAUUCAUCCAAACUUCUAAAUAUUGCUGAGACUACAGAGAGUGAGGAGUAAAUAUUGGUAUCUUGCUGAUAAGAGAAGAGGAGGACGUCAUUGAUUUUCAGAGGUACCGGAAGAGCAAAUCAUCCUAAAUGGCAUUCCUGACUUUCCUAAUGCGGUAGCUAUGCUUGUUGGUCUGCUAUUCACACUUAAUAUUGAUUACCCCAAGGAACUACUGAAAUACGGAAAUACUUCACUGUCCACAGUCACCAAUGCUUAAGAGCUAAUGUUUAAAAGUAUGUGUUUCGUUUAUUAUUAUGCUUAUUAUUAACAGAACAUUUCUUUUAUUACAGGAUGUAGAAAUAAAGUUAAGAUCUGCCGGUGGGUAUAUAUAUUAUGUCUUUCACUUUUGGGGUUGGCUCCGCCCCUGUCUCCAAUGUAGGACCUGCAGAGCCCAGAUGUAUCAAGUCCUGGGCCGAUGACAGGGCCUACGCCAAAGACUCUACUAGAAGAGACUGUUCUUUAUAUCCUCUUUAUAAUAUGUAUCUUUGUUUUGCUAAAAAUGUUAAAACAUUAAAUUGUUCAACUAACAACAUUUCUUCCGGAGUCGAAUAGUAGAAAUGAAAGUGCAGCGUAAGUUCUACUAAAGACUCCAAUGCUACGUCACCUAAUUACCUAUCCAAUCAGCUGUUCCCUUCUGCCUUUAAAUAAGAUCACUCAUUCAGUACCUUUGCUGCAUUUCAGACGCUGAUGGUCGUUCUUACUCUCCUCCUUCCCCACCGCCACCAGGUUGGUCCCGUUUGGUUGCCCGGGGGUUGGCUCCACCCCUGUCUCCAACGGACGACAGGGUCUGCAGAGCCCAGAUGUAUCAAGUCCUGGGCCGAUGACUGGGCCUACGCCAAAGACUCUACUAGAAGAGACUGUUCUUUAUAUCCUCUUUAUAAUAUUUAUCUUUGUUUUGCAAAAAAUGUUGAAACAUUAAAUUAUUCAACUAACAACA